rnacentral:tRNA from 1 species
GCUCAGUUGGUAGAGCAUGGCGCUUGCAAUGCCAGGGUUGUGGGUUCGAUUCCCAC